CAAGGCGUAGCUAUAACGCAAAGCACUCAGCUUACACCUGAGAGAUAUCUGCUACACACAGAUCGUCUUGA
rnacentral:tRNA from 1 species